rnacentral:rRNA from 1 species
GACGAACGCUGGCGGCGUGCUUAACACAUGCAAGUCGAGCGGUAAGGCCCUUUCGGGGGUACACGGGCGGCGAACGGGUGAGUAACACGUGGGUGACCUGCCCUCAGCUCUGGGAUAAGCCUGGGAAACCGGGUCUAAUACCGGAUAUGACUCCAUGACGCAUGUUGUGGGUGGAAAGCCUUGUGCGGCUGAGGAUGGGCCCGCGGCCUAUCAGCUUGUUGGUGGGGUGAUGGCCACCAAGGCGACGACGGGUAGCCGGCCUGAGAGGGCGACCGGCACACUGGGACUGAGACACGGCCCAGACUCCUACGGGAGGCAGCAGUGGGGAAUCUUGCGCAAUGGGCGAAAGCCUGACGCAGCGACGCCGC